GGUUAUGGGGAAGCCACACUUCCAGGCCCCAAGGCUGUACCCAGCAACUCAAAUGAAUGAGGCAAACGUGCGUGCAUUGACUCACAGGGUGACACUGAAACAGCCCAGGCUGGUGCGGUGACUGGGGGUGGGGUGGGGGGAGCUCAGCAAGCACAUGGCCCUGGGUUCCAUUCCCAGAGGGAAAGAAGGAAGGAAGCAAGGGAGGAAAAGGAACAGAGAAAGGAAAACGAAGUGUGCAGAAGCAGGGCUUGUAUGUGGUCCUGAGACGACAUUGGUACAGCCAGGGUGUCAGCUCUGCUGACAGAGCAAAAAUAUCUCCAGGACAUUGUUAAGUGGAAAAUAUCAGGACCAGAACAGCAUGAAGAAGAUCAGCCCUUAUGUAAACACAAAACAAGCCCUAAAAUAGGCAUGUGUGUACACACAGGCAGUACAUACAGGGUCAAAGAGCCAGGAAGGAAAACUGGAUUCGAGCAAGAUUACCUCUGGGCAGGGAUUAGGCCCAGGGCAGACUGGGUAUCGAAGAGACACUGUAACAUUUUGCUGAAUGUAAUUCUGUUAUCUGAAAAAACGUGUGGUGAACACAGUUAAGUAAAUGAAAACCUUAGGCCUUUGGUUUUGUUUUUAUGAGGAGAAAAAUGCCUUAGGGGCUAAAGUGCAGGGUCAGCUGGAGUCCUGGUUCCACUAACCAGGUUUCCACAUAAUCUUUAUGCACCUCAGUUUCCUCAUCUGGGAAGUGGGAUAAUUCUACUUCAUGCUCCACAGAAUGAUGUGAGAUGAAACGCACUGAGAUGCAUGAUCUUGGGUGUGGAUGAAACUGUGAAGCUAGAAUGGGCAAGACCAGCUCAUGUCACUGGCUAAGUAACAGUGGAAAUGGUUUACUUUUCAGCAGUCCGCCUUGGGGAGAAUGGAGUGGUCAAUAGGAAGAGUCACUUCAGAGGUCCACGCCGGUGGGAGGGAUUGUCCUUUGGUUGCACCUUCCUUUUCUAGGCAAGCCCCUGCUGCCAUUCCUUUAGUCGUCAUCAAGUGCAGACUGAGCAAGUACAAAUCUUGUGUGGAAGUCCUAACUGCAGUGUGUGGCCUUAUUUGGAAGUUAGGGUUGUUGCGGAUUAGUUAAGAAGAGGCCACCUGGAGUCAGGAGGGCCAUAACCCAGCAUGACCACGAGUCCUACCAUGACAGGAAGAGACACAGACACACGAAGGGACACUGCCAGGCUAGGAGCGCUCCACCGGCAGCAUGGGGAACACUGAGGUUGCCAGCAAAUCCCCAGGCCAGGAAGGGUCUCAGAGGGCCCGGCCCUGGACACCUCGCUCCGAGAUUUACAGCCUCCAGAAUUGAGCGUCCAUGAAUUGCUGUUUUCCUAAGGUGCUCCGUUUGUUGCAUCAGCCCUAGAAAGCUAAUACAGUGAGCAAGAUGGGGAGGUAAAAAAGCAUACCUGAGAGAUGUGAGUUUAAAUUCUGUGAUUGCCAUACCACUGGCUGUGUGAUCCCAGACACACUACUCAAUGUGCCUGAUCUCUGGGGCCCUUGGUGACAGAUAAAAACAAGAUAAAAGCAGUGCUUGUGGUGCAGCACAUCAUGGCAUUAAGUGAAAUGACAGGAAAUAUUUAGCCACACAAUCCUUGCCACACAAAGACAUCAGGACACCAGAUCCCUCAUGAACUCAGCAUCCCAGGGAAGCACUCCACCACGGAGCCACACCCCAAGCCUCUGCACACUCUCUCCGGAGCCUUGUGUUAAACCUAAAAGGCCAUGAAAUUUAGAAGAGCGCCAUCUGUCCUUGAAAAAAUGAGGGCUGGGCCAAAGCCAAGUAGCUUGAAUUCUUUAUCUCAGCCUGACAGCCUUUCUAAGCCUUUCUCAGGGAUGGUGAAACCUUCCACUCGGUCCUUCCAGUCGGAAACCAAUCUGUACUUCGGUGUGGUGGGGGCCUUGCAGCCUUGGGACAGGGCCUACUCUGCCCUCACUUUAAGACAGGAAGGGACAGCGUUUCUUCUAUGGUCUCACCGGGGUACAGGACUCUCUGCACUUCAUUCCUAGCCAGGCACUGGCACAAACCAGGUGUCAAGCUGGUCCUUCAAUUCACAGGAAGCCGCCUCCCAGGGUGCGUGGAACACGGGUGCCUUUCCAACCCUCUCAUCCCGGCCUGUGUAGCGAGGAGGGCUGCCCAGGCUCCACCCAGUAGGGCCCAGGUCUCCCUCACCUGCUUCCCCUGCUCCCCUGGACCUCCUGCUUCCUCCUUGGGGCCCAGGCGUCUUGGGGAACCCAUUCACCCCAGCUCAGCCUGUAGGGCUGGGCCAGCCUUGGGCAGUGGGGUACAAGAGUGUGGAGUAAAUGCCCCAGCCUUUGUUCUCCAGCACUGGGCUCUGACACACAUCUGUCAGCUCCUCAAGAUUCCUGCGGGAUCCAGCCCUGUUGUGAGUAGUCAUGGCCAACACUAAGCAUUCUUGUAUUCUCUCUUCUCUGUUCCCUGUGACCCUGUUUCCAAGGAAAUAUGUCGAGAACCAUUCUAUGUAAUUUUGGAGAAAAAAAUCAUUUCACAAUUAAAUUAUGAUUAGGGCUGUCUGAGGACUAGUCUUCCUGCCUAUAGGCUGACUAUGGUGGGUUGAAACGUUAACUCCAUUUUGCCUUCCAUCACAGCUGAGGCCUCAACUGUCCUGUGACGCUGAUGCUAAGGGCAAGAUUACAUCAGCUGAAGACUCCCUGGUCCCUUUAGAACCCAGUAGUAGGAAGAGAAAGGUUUCACCUGGGGAGGGACAAGUUCCUUAUCAGCUUAACUCAUCCCAUCUACUGUGGUAAGUGUUUUGUUCAUCUCACCGUCCUCAUCAACAUAAGCUCCGCAUGGACCUAAGAUCCUCAUCAGCAUAAGAUCCUCAUCGUCAUAAGGUCAUAGGAUCACCACCGGCCUCAGUCAUCUGAUCCUCCCUGAGAACCCAAUAAAUAGCGGCAAGCUCUGAGUGUCUUUGCCUUUUCCCGCUCUGAGGCACUGACAUCCCGGGCCCCGUAUACUUGAAAUUACCCAAGUCUCUAUUGCCUCUUUUUCUUUAGCCAUCUCUGUCCUCCUUUCUAGGCAGCUGGAGGAUUGAUCACCCACCAAUAUAAAUAUUUGUCUUGAAUUCUGCUUUUGGGAAAAUGCACAGUGUGGUUACUUUUGAAGAUGGAGGUCAAACAUCCGGAAAUGGAAGCCAUCCCAGCUCAGGGCCUUUUCCACCAUACCCAGUGCAUGCCUUGGACCAGCACAUGGGGACAAAUUCAGUCCUCAGGUCUCUGGUCCUGCUUCCUGGACGCCCUGCUGGGAAGGUCUGGCUACUCCAUCUUCCAGGUCUACAACAACUUCGCAAUUGCUCCAGGUGAAUUCUCCUACCAGGGGAUCCACCAAGGGAAGAGCUUUCAUCUGAUUGUUUGUUGGUUCCCACAGCGCUGUAGAGAUCUGUGACAGCAGGUGCUCAACAGAGGUAGGUUAAAGCCACUCCUUGUACAAGCUCUCACAGACAACAAAUGCAACAGUGGCAGAGUUGCUGUCCUGCUCUAGUGGCCUUGGCUCUGGUCCCCAAGGCUGCGGAGGCCCUUGCCUCCCCUGGAGAGGUUUGGGGAGGUCUGUACACUUCCCUGAGUGGUUGCUGAUGUCUUCCCCCCUCUGCACCACUUCAGGGGCUUCUCCCAGCAAAACAUGGUCCCCUUUACUUCUCCCUCCCUCCCAGGAAUUACCCUUCAUGAGGAAGGCCCUUCAGUAAGGCUGGGGGAGAAGACACUGAUGACUGCUAUGCAGAGGCAUUUCUUCCUGAGGAUUUGCCGCCUAUCUCAGACUAAAAAAAAAAUCUCUCCAUAUUGCACAAGUUGGCUUCAAAUUCCUGGACUCAAGUGACCCUCCUGCCUCAGCCUCUGGAGUAGCUGGGAUUACAGGUGCACACUUCUGGGCCAGGCUCGGUCCCACAACUUUUAAUCGAUGAUGCCUGGAACUGAACUUGUUGACUCAAGGAGUAUGUGAAUUUGGAGUUUGGUAGUUUACCAAAUGUCACCGCGUAGAGGAUACAUCAGUCUGCACUCCCAUUAAGUCCAUGUGAAGUCAUCAGCAGUUGGUUAUCUAAUGAGAUAAAUAUUUGCCAGCUGCGUAGGUGCAAAGAUGGUGCUUUGUAGCUUUAAUUGCAUUUCUCUUAUUUUUAUUGAGGUUGGGAUCUUUUCAUACGUUCAAGAACUAUCUGAGUUUCCCUUUAUGUGAGCAAUUUCUAUUCUUUGUCCAUUUUCAAUUAGAUUAUUGGCUUUACUCUUACUUUUAUCAUUUAUGUGUUAAAGAGCCCUUGCCAACCAUAUGAGUUAUAAAUAUUUUUUCAAUUUGUGGUUUAUCUUUGGACUUACAGAAGGAUUAUUAUUGUUGUUAUUACUAUUAUUUUGCUUUGUAGAGGUUGUAAAAAGUUUUUAAACCUAUAAAAAAUUCAUACUUUUUUAUAUUUCUGGGUUUUGUUUCAUAUUUCACAUGAAGUUAUAAAAUACUUCUCACAUUACUGCUAGUAAUUUUAUGUAUCAGAAUCUAUUCUGGAGCUACUUAUAAAGUAAGGAACACUUUCAUUGUUUCUUCAAAUAGAUAUCCCUCUAAGCCAACAUCAUUAGUAUAAUAUGAAAAGUUUGUCAUAUACUUAAACUUAUUUCUGAAUUUUCCAGUUGGUUUUAGUGAUCUUUCUAUUUAUAUUGUUGUGAUUAUUAAGGAUAGGAUUUUAGACAUGGUAAUUUUAACCUUUUUUAUUACUCUAAUUUUUCCAAAAUUUCUGGCUAUUCUUGGUCAUUUUUCCACAAGAAAUUUAGAACUAGCUAGUUUCCUUCCCCCCAAAAUACCCUUUCAGUAUUUUUAUUGGGAUCCCAGGGAAUUUAUAGAUGCCCCGUCUCUGGCAGCUUUAUGAGUCCAAGGAGCUGAGAAGGCAGCGUUCUUUUGCAUUGUCAAAUUUUCCUUGAUGUCCUUCAGUAGCAUUACGAUUCCAAACUAUAAAUACUGCAUAUUUCUCAUUAAGUUUAUUCUUAGGGUUUUUAUUUUUUGUUGCUAUUUUAAAUAAGAUCUUUUCUUUCUUUAUA